AUUGGACGCUGGCGGCAUGCUUUACACAUGCAAGUCGAACGGUAACAGGCCGCAAGGUGCUGACGAGUGGCGAACGGGUGAGUAAUGCAUCGGAACGUGCCCAGUCGUGGGGGAUAACGCAGCGAAAGCUGCGCUAAUACCGCAUACGAUCUAUGGAUGACAGCGGGGGACCGUAAGGCCUCGCGCGAUUGGAGCGGCCGAUGUCAGAUUAGGUAGUUGGUGGGGUAAAGGCUCACCAAGCCAACGAUCUGUAGCUGGUCUGAGAGGACGACCAGCCACACUGGAACUGAGAACCGGUCCGGACUCCUACGGGAGGCAGCAGUGGGGAAGUUUGGACAAUGGGCGCAAGCCUGAUCCAGCAAUGCCGCGUGCAGGAAGAAGGCCUUCGGGUUGUAAACUGCUUUUGUACGGAACGAAACGGCGAGCUCUAAUACAGUUUGCUAAUGACGGUACCGUAAGAAUAAGCACCGGCUAACUACGUGCCAGCAGCCGCCGUAACAC
rnacentral:rRNA from 1 species